rnacentral:rRNA from 1 species
GACGAACGCUGGCGGCGUGCCUAAUACAUGCAAGUCGAGCGCAGGAAGCUGACGGAACUCAUCGGAGGGAAGGCAGUGGAAUGAGCGGCGGACGGGAGAGUAACACGUAAGGAACCUGCGUCAAGGAUUGGGAUAACUCCGAGAAAUCGGAGCUAAUACCGGAGAGUUCAACUGACCGCAUGGUCCGCUGAUGAAAGGCGGUCGGGCCUAACCAUGAGAGGGCCGGGCGGUGCUUUAGCUAGUUGGUGGGGUAACGGCCCACCAAGGCGACGAUGCAUAGCCGACCUGAGAGGGUGAUCGGCCACACUGGGACUGAGACACGGCCCAGACUCCUACGGGAGGCAGCAGUAGGGAAUCUUCCACAAUGGACGAAAGUCUGAAGGAGCAACGCCGCGUGAGUGAUGAAGGUUUUCGGAUCGUAAAACUCUGUUGUAAGGGAAGAACACGUACGAGAGGGAAUGCUCGUACCUUGACGGUACCUUACGAGAAAGCCACGGCUAACUACGUGCCAGCAGCCGCGGUAAUAC